CCUACGGGAGGCAGCAGUGAGGAAUAUUGGUCAAUGGACGAGAGUCUGAACCAGCCAAGUAGCGUGAAGGAUGACUGCCCUAUGGGUUGUAAACUUCUUUUAUAUGGGAAUAAAAUGUUCCACGUGUGGGAUUUUGUAUGUACUUUAUGAAUAAGGAUCGGCUAACUCCGUGCCAGCAGCCGCGGUAAUACGGAGGAUCCGAGCGUUAUCCGGAUUUAUUGGGUUUAAAGGGAGCGUAGAUGGGUUGUUAAGUCAGUUGUGAAAGUUUGCGGCUCAACCGUAAAAGUGCAAUUGAUACUGGCAGGCUUGAGUACAGUUGAGGUAAGCGGAAUUCGUGGUGUAGCGGUGAAAUGCUUAGAUAUCACGAAGAACCCCGAUUGCGAAGGCAGCUUACUAAACUGUGACUGACAUUGAUGCUCGAAAGUGUGGGUAUCAAACAGGAUUAGAUACCCUUGUAGUC
rnacentral:rRNA from 1 species